UUUAUUUCUCUCCCUUUGCAUUCCUGGAAUGGUUGGAGUUCCAUAAAAGGAGGGUGUGGAAAAGAUUUCUUGAAGUCAGCAAGGUACAUUGAUAUAAAGUGGUUAGAGCCAACUCAGUCAAAAAAUAUUAAACCCUACUUUGCUUACGUAACACAAAUGAUUUGGUAGCCAAUCAAGGAAGGAAAGCAAGGAACAGUUCAGUUUCUGAUAAUGGUGAAGAAAUGGGCAAGUCUUCUGGUCCUGGAGAGAAAGUACAAGAUUAGAGAGCUAUUUUAGUCAGAGGCUCUGUGUUCUGCAAAACCCGUGAGUCAAGAUUUACUCAAAGCUGUUCUGUGGUGAAGUUCCCAUUGAUAUUCACUGCUGGAGAAUGACACCUGAUGACUGCAUCUCAUGAAGUAUACUCCAAUCCAUGAAAGCUUAUGCCUUAAUAAAGGUUGGUCCGCAAGAAUCUUGUUUUUGCUGCAAUGGACUAAUAAAGGUACCCCUCUGGAACCAGAUUAAGAUAGUUGCUCAGAAAUAACAUUUACAUUAGUGGUAUGCCAACAAUCCUGCACAUGGAUCACAUCACACAACUAGCAUAACCACUUUACUCAGAUGCUGAUUUAACUCAUGCCAAUAAUUCAAGAAGCUGCCACAUACACAAUGCUCAUGACAAGCAGCCCUAUAAAAUUGGGGUUCUAUUCAGCUAAGUGUUACUAAAACUGUAGUUUGUUAAGGGUGCGGGAAUUAUAACUCUGUGAGAGGUAAUUACAGUUCCUAGGAUUCUAGGGGGCAGGAGGUUUGCUUUGAAGGUAUGGUCUGUAUGUAGGGAACGAUAUUGUUCAUGUAUUUGUAUAUUCCUUAAUGAUUUUAAUGUUUUUCUGAAAUGUAUUUAAUAAAAUAAAGGUUAAUAAAGCUGGCAAA